rfam:Schistosoma mansoni strain Puerto Rico chromosome 6, complete genome
AGCCUUCUGAAUCCUUGCCGAGAUUUCGUCAGAUAUCUGCCCGUCAGAAUCGAUGAGACUCCCAAGAUGAGUGGAGCG